rnacentral:rRNA from 1 species
AUUGAACGCUGGCGGCAUGCCUUACACAUGCAAGUCGAACGGCAGCACGGGGGCAACCCUGGUGGCGAGUGGCGAACGGGUGAGUAAUGCAUCGGAACGUGCCCAGUAGUGGGGGAUAACCCGGCGAAAGCCGGGCUAAUACCGCAUACGACCCAAGGGUGAAAGCGGGGGACCGUAAGGCCUCGCGCUAUUGGAGCGGCCGAUGUCUGAUUAGCUAGUUGGCGGGGUAAGAGCCCACCAAGGCGACGAUCAGUAGCUGGUCUGAGAGGACGACCAGCCACAGUGGGACUGAGACACGGCCCAGACUCCUACGGGAGGCAGCAGUGGGGAAUUUUGGACAAUGGGCGCAAGCCUGAUCCAGCCAUGCCGCGUGCGGGAAGAAGGCCUUCGGGUUGUAAACCGCUUUUGGCAGGAACGAAACGGCGCAAGCCAAUACCUUGCGCUAAUGACGGUACCUGCAGAAUAAGCACCGGCUAACUACGUGCCAGCCGCCGCCGUAACAC